rnacentral:rRNA from 1 species
AUUGAACGCUGGCGGCAGGCCUAACACAUGCAAGUCGAGCGGAUGAAGGGAGCUUGCUUCUGGAUUCAGCGGCGGACGGGUGAGUAAUGCCUAGGAAUCUGCCUGGUAGUGGGGGAUAACGUCCGGAAACGGGCGCUAAUACCGCAUACGUCCUGAGGGAGAAAGUGGGGGAUCUUCGGACCUCACGCUAUCAGAUGAGCCUAGGUCGAUUAGCUAGUUGGUGGGGUAAAGGCCUACCAAGGCGACGAUCCGUAACUGGUCUGAGAGGAUGAUCAGUCACACUGGAACUGAGACACGGUCCAGACUCCUACGGGAGGCAGCAGUGGGGAAUAUUGGACAAUGGGCGAAAGCCUGAUCCAGCCAUGCCGCGUGUGUGAAGAAGGUCUUCGGAUUGUAAAGCACUUUAAGUUGGGAGGAAGGGCAGUAAGUUAAUACCUUGCUGUUUUGACGUUACCAACAGAAUAAGCACCGGCUAACUUCGUG